GACGAACGCUGGCGGCGUGCUUAACACAUGCAAGUCGAACGAAGUGGCGAACGGGUGAGUAACGAGUAAUCAACCUGCCCUUCAGCGGGGGAAAACAGUUGGAAACGACUGCUAAUACCGCAUACUGAAGGAGGGGAUUGCGUCUGAUUGGAUAGUGGGAGGGGUAACGGCCCACCAAGGCGAUGAUCAGGAGCCGGUCUGAGAGGAUGAACGGCCAAAUUGGGACUGAGAAACGGCCCAGACUCCUACGGGAGGCAGCAAUUGGGAAUCUUCCGCAAUGGACGAAAGUCUGACGGCGCAACGCCGCGUGAGUGAUGACGGCCUUCGGGUUGGAAAGCUCUGUUAAUCGGGACGCGGUACCGGAAUAGAAAGCCACGGCUAACUACGUGCCAGCAGCCGCGGUAAUAC
rnacentral:rRNA from 1 species